rnacentral:rRNA from 1 species
AAUGAACGCUGGCGGCGCGCCUAAUACAUGCAAGUCGAGCGAGAAGACGUAGCAAUACGUUUGUAAAGCGGCGAACGGGUGAGGAAUACAUGGGUAACCUACCCUAGAGUGGGGAAUAACUAGCCGAAAGGUUAGCUAAUACCGCGUACGCUCCUUGGACUUCGGUUCAGGGAGGAAAGCGAUGCCGAGGGUAUCGCGCUCUUGGAUGGGCUCAUGUCCUAUCAGCUUGUUGGGAGGUAACGGCUCACCAAGGCUUCGACGGGUAGCUGGUCUGAGAGGACGAUCAGCCACACUGGGACUGAGACACGGCCCAGACUCCUACGGGAGGCAGCAGUGGGGAAUCUUGCGCAAUGGGCGAAAGCCUGACGCAGCCAUGCCGCGUGAGUGAAGAAGGUCUUAGGAUUGUAAAGCUCUUUCGCUCGUGACGAUGAUGACGGUAACGAGAGAAGAAGCCCCGGCUAACUUCGUGCCAGCAGCCGCAGUAAC